CGGAAUUACUGGGCGUAAAGGGCGCGUAGGCGGUCAAUCAAGUCAGGUGUAAAAGACCCGGGCUCAACCCGGGGGUAGCAUCUGAAACUGAUUGGCUAGAGGGCAGGAGAGGGGAGUGGAAUUCCCGGUGUAGCGGUGAAAUGCGUAGAUAUCGGGAGGAAUACCAGUGGCGAAGGCGACUCUCUGGACUGGCCCUGACGCUGAGGCGCGAAAGCGUGGGGAGCGAACAGGAUUAGAUACCCUGGUAGUCAGGCUAUACGAGUAAU
rnacentral:rRNA from 1 species